AUUUUGACUGUGCAAAGGUAGCAUAAUCAUUAGUCUUUUAAUUGAGGACUGGUAUGAAUGGUUUAACGAAGUAUUAACUGUCUCAUUUUAAUAAGUUGAAAUUAACUUUUGAGUUAAAAGGCUUAAAUAAAAUUAAAGGACGAGAAGACCCUAUAGAGCUUUAUAAAUUCAGUAUUGAAUGAAAUUUGGAAGUAGUAUUAAUUUAAAUAUAGAAUUUAUUUUAUUGGGGUGAUAUGAAGAUUUAAUAAACUCUUUAUAAUGAUUAAACAUUAAUAAAUGAAUAAUUGAUCCAUUUUUAGUGAUUAUAAGAUUAAGUUACCUUAGGGAUAACAGCGUAAUGUUUUUUGAGAGUUCUUAUCAACAAAAAAGAUUGCGACCUCGAUGUUGGAUUAAGGAAAAGGUUGGG
rnacentral:rRNA from 1 species